ACUGUGUCGUGAAAUAUUAAUCAGAGCCGUCUGCCUCUGGGGGCCAAAACUAAGAGGCGGCAGCAUCAAUGUAGCAAGAGCUGCCCAGCGACAUGUCUUUGAGAAGCUGAUUAUUGCGGGUGUGGCCCCGGGAGAGUGUGGGAGGUGCUGGCAGGCUGUGGCUGCGUGCACAGGGAGCCUCUUGGGCCCCAGUCAGGGCUGCUUCAGCUCCUCUCCAAAUGCUGAUUCAGUGGAGAAGCUGUUAUUCGUUGACUGCUUUAUAAGCUCGGGGUGCUCACAUCGUUGCAUUAAGGGACCACCAUGCCUGCAG